rnacentral:miRNA from 1 species
AUAUGCCUGGCUAGCUCCUC